rnacentral:lncRNA from 1 species
AAAGAAACUAAGGUUCAGAGAUACUGAGAGACUUGCCAAUUAAUAAAGGGGCAGAGCUGGGUUCAAACACCCAAGUUUCUGACUUGAAACACACCUGUUCCACUACCCCACCAACCCUGUGAAUGUGAGCAGCAUUCACAAUGCCUGGAAGCCCCGAGAGGAAACAGCAGAAUUACAAGAGAAACUGAGGCACUGAUGGAAGCGGAAGGAUUCAGAAUGUCAAUGCUGAAGCGUCAAGAAAAUCUCAAAUUAUGCUCAAAGCUAGGAUGCUCAUGAAACAUUCGUUUUUAUCAAAAGUGUUAAAUACAACAGAAUAUCAUUCCUUAAAAAGGAAUGCAAU